rnacentral:rRNA from 1 species
GAUGAACGCUGGCGGCGUGCCUAAUACAUGCAAGUCGAGCGAACAGACGAGGAGCUUGCUCCUCUGACGUUAGCGGCGGACGGGUGAGUAACACGUGGAUAACCUACCUAUAAGACUGGGAUAACUUCGGGAAACCGGAUCUAAUACCGGAUAAUAUAUUGAACCGCAUGGUUCAAUAGUGAAAGACGGUUUUGCUGUCACUUAUAGAUGGAUCCGCGCCGCAUUAGCUAGUUGGUAAGGUAACGGCUUACCAAGGCAACGAUGCGUAGCCGACCUGAGAGGGUGAUCGGCCACACUGGAACUGAGACACGGUCCAGACUCCUACGGGAGGCAGCAGUAGGGAAUCUUCCGCAAUGGGCGAAAGCCUGACGGAGCAACGCCGCGUGAGUGAUGAAGGUCUUCGGAUCGUAAAACUCUGUUAUUAGGGAAGAACAAAUGUGUAAGUAAAUAUGCACGUCUUGACGGUAACUAAUCAGAAAGCCACGGCUAACUACGUG